rnacentral:tRNA from 1 species
GUGUCGGUGGUGUAAUGGCGAAGAACAUUACCGCCUUGUCAGCAGGAAGUGCGGGUUCGAGUCCCGCCCAACAAA